rnacentral:rRNA from 1 species
UGUUUCGGCUAGGGGGCCAUCCCGGCUUACCAACCCGAUGCAAACUGCGAAUACCGGAGAAUGUUAUCACGGGAGACACACGGCGGGUGCUAACGUCCGUCGUGAAGAGGGAAACAACCCAGACCGCCAGCUAAGGUCCCAAAGUCAUGGUUAAGUGGGAAACGAUGUGGGAAGGCCCAGACAGCCAGGAUGUUGGCUUAGAAGCAGCCAUCAUUUAAAGAAAGCGUAAUAGCUCACUGGUCGAGUCGGCCUGCGCGGAAGAUGUAACGGGGCUAAACCAUGCACCGAAGCUGCGGCAGCGACACUGUGUGUUGUUGGGUAGGGGAGCGUUCUGUAAGCCUGCGAAGGUGUCCCGUGAGGGAUGCU